UACGUAGGGGGCAAGCGUUGUCCGGAUUUAUUGGGCGUAAAGAGCGUGUAGGCGGCUAGAUAGGUCCGUUGUGAAAACUCGAGGCUCAACCUCGAGACGCCGGUGGAAACCAUCUAGCUAGAGUCCGGAAGAGGAGAGUGGGAUUCCUGGUGUAGCGGUGAAAUGCGCAGAUAUCAGGAAGAACACCCGUGGCGAAGGCGGCUCUCUGGGACGUGACUGACGCUGAGACGCGAAAGCGUGGGGAGCGAACAGG
rnacentral:rRNA from 1 species